CUCUUACCUCUUCCGAUUCUCUCCAUUCCCUCUCUCUAUCUCUCUCAUCCCUUCUCUCUCUCCUCUGAUUUCUCGCUUCGUUCCUCCAGGUAAACCAUCCACGAUGGUCGCGGUGCCAUCAAUCUAUGAUGACCUAGCUUCGUAGGCCAAAUUUGCUCACAUCAACACCGAUUGGAGGGUCCAUGAUGAGGUCUACCCCAAGCUAUGGUGUCUACAAAACGGAAGUCCACGAACUUGUGCGGAUGUUGCGCGCUCAGUAGGCGCCCACUCUGCAGGCACGAAUCCUCAGGGGUUUCCCAUCUUCAC